rnacentral:rRNA from 1 species
UCUGGGAGGGGGAGGGCUUCCCGAACCCUUUCGAGGCUUCAGCCCUCUAACACCUGUGUGCACCCGCUGUAGGUCCUUAGGGACCUAUGUCUUCUUCGAACUCGCAUGUCUACAGAACGUCGUCCGUGACCUCGGUCACAGGAAACCUAAUACAACUUUCAGCAAUGGAUCUCUUGGCUCUCGCAUCGAUGAAGGACGCAGCGAAUCGCGAUAAGUAAUGUGAAUUGCAGAUUUUCCGUGAAUCAUCGAAUCUUUGAACGCACCUUGCGCUCCUUGGUAUUCCGAGGAGCAUGCCUGUUUGAGUGUCAUCGAAACAUCAGAUCGAAGCUUUCGACCUCGUCGGAGCUCGGUUUGGACUUGUGGGAGUCUGCGGGCGAACCUCCCGUCGGGGGGGGACGUCGGCUCUCCUCAAAAGCAUUAGUGUUGGGUGCGAGCCUCGCGUGGCACGGCCUCUUCGACGUCAUAAUGACCGUCGUGGGCUGGAAGUGCGUGGAUCGUAGAUGCCCGUCGCUCUCCAACUCUGCGAGCCCGGUCCGUCCGGCCGCGUGUUAUCGAAGCUUGACCUCAAAUCAGGUAGGACUACCCGCUGAACUUAAGCAUAUCA